rnacentral:rRNA from 1 species
GAGUUUGAUUAUGGCUCAGGAUGAACGCUAGCGAUAGGCUUAACACAUGCAAGUCGAGGGGCAGCGAGGGUAGCAAUACCUGUCGGCGACCGGCGCACGGGUGAGUAACGCGUAUGUAACCUGCCCGCAACAGGGGGAUAACCCGGCGAAAGUCGGACUAAUACCGCAUAAAACAGGGGUCCCGCAUGGGAAUAUUUGUUAAAGAUUUAUCGGUUGCGGAUGGGCAUGCGUACCAUUAGGUAGUUGGUGAGGUAACGGCUCACCAAGCCUUCGAUGGUUAGGGGUUCUGAGAGGAAGGUCCCCCACACUGGUACUGAGACACGGACCAGACUCCUACGGGAGGCAGCAGUGAGGAAUAUUGGUCAAUGGGCGAGAGCCUGAACCAGCCAAGUCGCGUGAAGGAUGACUGCCCUAUGGGUUGUAAACUUCUUUUACAAGGGAAUAAAAUGAGAUACGUGUAUUUUAUUGCAUNACCUNGAUAG